GCUCUCUGGGGCCGGUGCCCUUCACGCUGGGGUUCCACAUAGCAACAAAUGGAGAGAGUGCCCCGGGAGUCCAUUCCCGCAGGGGUUCUUCAGAAGGGCGGUUCUCCACAGCACCUCAGAGACAGCUGUCACUUGGGGUUCAUCCAGUGACAUGGGGCCAACUUGGAGGCAGCUCCUACACAAGCACCUCAGAGUCCCCGGAGGACUGUCCACGGCCGCAAACCCGCCCCUCAUGUGACGGUCUGGUCCCUGCCGCCCCCGCUCCCACUUACCGGGACCUUCCAGGCCGGCAGACUCUACACCGCGUGCCUUGCGCUGCCCAGAGGAGCUCGAGGGCCGGCGUGCUGGGCCAAGGGCAGGCAAAAGGUAGCGCUGGCGGAGCUCCGAGUAGAGGCGUUCACCGCAGAGGCGCAUGCGCCCACGCGAGGCGCUCUUGGCCGCUGGUGGGCUCGUGGGGCGUUCCGCCCCACCCUCCGCGCCUCGAGGUGCGGGCCUCGCGGAUCAGUUGUGGGCGCCGGCGCGCUUGGAGUUGGGGGGACGCGGGAGUGGAGUUCUAUGGGGGUCGGAUGAACCGUGGGCCCAGGUGCCAGUUGGCGCCCCCUUCGAGCACCCUGGUCUGCGGCGCGGGGACUGCACCUGCCGGCCGACUGCGGCAAGGACUGUGUCAGGCCCAAGGGGGCGCAGGGCUGAGCCCGCUAACACUUCCGCUCCUCGUAAAGAGAUGGAGUCUCCUUCUGUUACCCAGGCUGGAGUGCAGUGCUGUGAUCAUAACUUACUAUUGUCUCAAACUCCUGGGCUCAAGCAAUCCUCCCUCAGCCUCUCGAGUAGCUGGGAUUACAGCCUCUCCACUGCACAGGAAUUCCAUGCCAUAGGAACUCAUACCAUCCUACGGGUUCCUCCAGUGUGAAGACCAACCUCCUGGCCCUGGCCCAUUCCAACUUCAAGAUUCUCUGCCUUAAAAGUCAAAACCCAGCCAAGAUGGGCUCCUAUAGCUCCUCCCUCUAUUGCUUGUGUUAAAGGGAUGGGGCAGUGGUCUCAGUGUUUACACGAUGAUGCUACUGGGAAAUGCAGAGUCCUCGGUCCUUUGGAAGAAAGAAUCAGCCGAGAGAUAAUUUAAAGAGGAGAAUUAAUUGAAGGAAAAUAGAGAGCAGAGAGUAUAUUUGGAAGGACAGUACACUCUAAAAGAUAAGGCAAAGGGGGCUGCUGACAGAGAAUGAGCCAACAGCAGCAGCCCCAAGAGUUCUGCAUUGGGUUUUUGUAUCAGAUUUUCUUGAGGUUCCCACCUCUGUCUUACUUAAGUCUCUGCCUUUUUUUCUUUGUCUAGUUUUCCCACUUCUGCCUUAAGUCCUUGCCUUUAUCCCCACCUAGUUCCCAUCCAGGCCUGUGGGAGUCUCCCUUACUAUUAGUUGGUCUGCAUGCAUGGUCCCCAUGUUGGAUAUGAAUUCUACCUGCAUUGCUCAUUACUGCCACCACAAAAACGUUGUAGAGUGGUCAGAUCUAGACUUAAUGCACCUAUGUAUCUCUUAGGAAUUUCUCCCUUGCUGUCUUCCCCUCCUUAUCGGCCUGUAGCUAGCUAUAUUCUGACAGAUUACCUGCAGAGCAAGCAAUUACUGGGCAUCUUAAGGGGGCAUUUCAGGGUGUUCUUUUCUGCGUAGGUAUUUCCCCUCCUCUCUGCUCAUACCCAGUAUGCAGGUUUGGGGUGGUCUCUGGGGUGCGAGAUUUUCUAGACCUCCCUUUCCUCAGGGGCUCCCUCUCCUGCUCAUGUCUGGCUAUCUGCCUACUCUAACAAUGGGAGCACACUGCUAAACUAUACUAACUGUAGCUAGUGGUAGGGGAAGCUUGUAUGGGUGCUUGGAUGUUGGCUUCUUUGGUAUCAGUAAAUACAAUGGCCAUGUGUAUUUGCUAUCUUGGCCUUUUAAAAAACAAAUCCUAGUAUCCUUGAAAAGAAAACAAUUCAUAAAGCUGGUAUUUCACCAGCAUUUCUCGAGCUCAGAGGGAGGAAAUUCCCUUCCUGUAUAGGAGAGGACAGGAAGUUCUAUUUGAAACGUCUCCGAACUUCUCCAGGCCCUCGUGCCCAAUUUUGUUUGAAAGUCAUGGAUUUUGCAAAUGUUAAGAACAGUUGCUGCUGGCUGGGUGCAGUGAUUCAUACCUACAAUCCCAGCACCUUGGGAGGCUGACGUGGAAGGAUCAAUUGAGCUCAGGAGUUGAAGACCAGAUUGGGUAAUAUAGCAAGACCUUGUCUCUAUUAAAAAUAAAAAUAAUUUA
rnacentral:lncRNA from 1 species